UACGGGGGGGGCAAGCGUUGUUCGGAAUUACUGGGCGUAAAGGGCUCGUAGGCGGCCAACUAAGUCAGACGUGAAAUCCCUCGGCUUAACCGGGGAACUGCGUCUGAUACUGGAUGGCUUGAGUUUGGGAGAGGGAUGCGGAAUUCCAGGUGUAGCGGUGAAAUGCGUAGAUAUCUGGAGGAACACCGGUGGCGAAGGUGGCAUCCUGGACCAACACUGACGCUGAGGAGCGAAAGCGUGGGGAGCGAACAGG
rnacentral:rRNA from 1 species